AGCUUUGCGCAGUGGCAGUAUCGUAGCCAAUGAGGUUUAUCCGAGGCGUGAUUAUUGCUAAUUAAAGAAUGGAAGAGAAAAUCUAGCUUAUCAUAUUUUAAGUGGCUUGCCUAAUACUUUAUUAUUGUUCUAUCCACGGAU
rfam:Mustela putorius furo unplaced genomic scaffold scaffold00023, whole genome shotgun sequence.